rnacentral:rRNA from 1 species
UGCAGUCGAACGGUGAAGAGGAGCUUGCUCCUCUGGAUCAGUGGCGAACGGGUGAGUAACACGUGAGUAACCUGCCCUUGACUCUGGGAUAAGCACUGGAAACGGUGUCUAAUACCGGAUACGAGCUUCAGUCGCAUGACUAGGAGCUGGAAAGAAUUUCGGUCAAGGAUGGACUCGCGGCCUAUCAGCUAGUUGGUGAGGUAAUGGCCCACCAAGGCGACGACGGGUAGCCGGCCUGAGAGGGUGACCGGCCACACUGGGACUGAGACACGGCCCAGACUCCUACGGGAGGCAGCAGUGGGGAAUAUUGCACAAUGGGCGCAAGCCUGAUGCAGCAACGCCGCGUGAGGGACGACGGCCCUCGGGUUGUAAACCUCUUUUAGUAGGGAAGAAGCGAAAGUGACGGUACCUGCAGAAAAAGCACCGGCUAACUACGUGCCAGCAGCCGCGGUAAUACGUAGGGUGCAAGCGUUAUCCGGAAUUAUUGGGCGUAAAGAGCUCGUAGGCGGUUUGUCGCGUCUGCUGUGAAAACUGGAGGCUCAACCUCCAGCCUGCAGUGGGUACGGGCAGACUAGAGUGCGGUAGGGGAGAUUGGAAUUCCUGGUGUAGCGGUGGAAUGCGCAGAUAUCAGGAGGAACACCGAUGGCGAAGGCAGAUCUCUGGGCCGUAACUGACGCUGAGGAGCGAAAGCAUGGGGAGC